rnacentral:rRNA from 1 species
CUCUGUGACUCCUACGGGAGGCAGCAGUGGGGAAUAUUGCACAAUGGGGGAAACCCUGAUGCAGCCAUGCCGCGUGUGUGAAGAAGGCCUUCGGGUUGUAAAGCACUUUCAGUAGGGAGGAAGGUAGUGUAGUUAACACCUGCACUAUUUGACGUUACCUACAGAAGAAGCACCGGCUAACUCCGUGCCAGCAGCCGCGGUAAUACGGAGGGUGCGAGCGUUAAUCGGAAUUACUGGGACGUAAAGCGCAUGCAGGCGGCCUGUUAAGUCAGAUGUGAAAGCCCCGGGCUUAACCUCGGAAUUGCAUUUGAAACUGGCAGGCUAGAGUCUUGUAGAGGGGGUAGAAUUUCAGGUGUAGCGGUGAAAUGCGUAGAGAUCUGAAGGAAUACCAGUGGCGAAGGCGGCCCCCUGGACAAAGACUGACGCUCAGAUGCGAAAGCGUGGGGAGCAAACAGGAUUAGAUACCCUGGUAG